rnacentral:lncRNA from 1 species
GUAAGUACACUCUAUGAUGUUUGCACAAUGACAAAAUCAUCUAACAAUGCAUUUACCAGAAUGUAUCCCCAUUGUUGUUAAGUGAUGCAUGACUGUAUAAUCAUUGGUGAAAGACCACUGCUUAAUAAAAGAUUUUGGUCUGGUUUUUGGCAAGGCCAAUUUUUUCUCAGUCCAAUUGGGCCAAUUUUUAUGCUAUCAGAAGGUUGAGAACCACUGAUUUAAACAAACUACCUAGCUGAAUAUGAAUGCUGCCUGAUUGUGACAUCUGUCAUUCUUUAGAUUCCAGAGUUAAAGUUAGCAAAUCUGGCUUAUUAAACAUGUUUUUUUAAUUUCUCCCCAAUUUAUCCAAGUGAAACUUUCCCAAAGCUGAAUCUUCCCAGAGAAAAUUCUGUUCCCUUCCCUUGAUACAAUACAUAGUUAGGCCCACAAGUUUAAUUUGCAAGAGAAUACAUGCUACAUUCUAAAGAAAAAUCUAAUUUAAAAUUGCCCCUUUUGGUAAAUCAUCUUUAAAACACUAGUUAUGCUGUAUUUAAAACUCAUUUUCUCCUUAUUCUGUUCUUGAUGGAAGCUAUUGUUAAUUUUUCACAAGUAUUGGCUCAGGGCUUUCUUGAUACGGUACUACCCAUGAAAGAUGGGCCUCCUUACAGAAAUGUUUUUGACAAUGUUUUGAGAUUCACCUAAUGUUCUGCUCUAUAACAAAUCAGAAGGUUGCAAUCAUUUAUGUUUUAUGCCAAGGAUCAAUAUGUAUAUUUAAUAGAAAUUGGGAUAUUUAACUAUUCUUUGGCGAUCUGAAAUAUCUGUUUACUGUCUUAGGAAGCCUGCAUAAUAGUAGGUCAUGUCUGCCUGAAAAUAAGAUACUUUCAGUGUUUUACAUGUGUCAAUACAGGGUAUCAUUUUUAUUUCUUUAUCAGAGCUAGACAAUACAGUACCUUCUGAUGGUAUAGCCAGACUACCUGGUAUUCACUGAGAACCCUACUCAGGGCUGCCUAUUCUUAUUUAUUCUACCUACGCCUCGAUGGGAUACAAGUUUCUCUCACCUAGGCAGAGUUAUAUCCACUGCUGAGAUUUAAAGGAGUCUGGAAAUGGCACUAUUAUUUCUCUACUUGAGUUCUGAACCAGUUAAGAAAACCAAAUAUUAACAUUAGCAAAAAGAUAUUUAAAGCCCUAAACCAAAAGAGGCCAUAUCAUAGGUUGACUCCUCCAGGUGCAUAUACUGAGAGAGAGUUGGUGUUCAAGACAUAUAUAAAGAAUCAAAGGAAGGGGAGGAAGCAGGAUGGAGCAG